UACGGAGGAUGCGAGCGUUAUCCGGAUUUAUUGGGUUUAAAGGGUGCGUAGGCGGGAUGCCAAGUCAGCGGUAAAAAUGCGGUACUCAACGCCGUCGAGCCGUUGAAACUGGCGUUCUUGAGUGGGCGAGAAGUAUGCGGAAUGCGUGGUGUAGCGGUGAAAUGCAUAGAUAUCACGCAGAACUCCGAUUGCGAAGGCAGCAUACCGGCGCCCUACUGACGCUGAGGCACGAAAGCGUGGGUAUCGAACAGG
rnacentral:rRNA from 1 species